rnacentral:rRNA from 1 species
UACGGAGGGUGCAAGCGUUAUCCGGAUUCACUGGGUUUAAAGGGUGCGUAGGCGGCCUGAUAAGUCAGUGGUGAAAGCUUCCAGCUUAACUGGGAAACUGCCAUUGAAACUAUCAGGCUUGAGUACAAUUGAAGUGGGCGGAAUACAUCAUGUAGCGGUGAAAUGCUUAGAUAUGAUGUAGAACACCGAUUGCGAAGGCAGCUCACUAAAUUGCAACUGACGCUGAGGCACGAAAGCGUGGGUAGCGAACAGG